GAUGAACGCUAGCGGCAGGCUUAACACAUGCAAGUCGAGGGGUAGAGGAAGCUUGCUUCCUUGAGACCGGCGCACGGGUGCGUAACGCGUAUGCAACCUACCUUUUACAGAGGGAUAGCCCAGAGAAAUUUGGAUUAAUACCUCAUAGUAUAUAGUCUUCGCAUGUUGACUAUAUUAAAGUUCCUACGGUAAAAGAUGGGCAUGCGUCCUAUUAGCUAGUUGGUAAGGUAACGGCUUACCAUGGCAACGAUAGGUAGGGGUCCUGAGAGGGAGAUCCCCCACACUGGUACUGAGACACGGACCAGACUCCUACGGGAGGCAGCAGUGAGGAAUAUUGGACAAUGGGCGCAAGCCUGAUCCAGCCAUGCCGCGUGCAGGAAGAAGCAUCUAUGGUGUGUAAACUGCUUUUGUACAGGAAGAAACACCCCGACGUGUCGGGACUUGACGGUACUGUAAGAAUAAGGAUCGGCUAACUCCGUGCCAGCCGCCGCGGUAAUAC
rnacentral:rRNA from 1 species